rnacentral:lncRNA from 1 species
GAGAGUCGCGCGGCGUGGAUUUGGAUUUGGAUUUGGGUUUGGGCUUUCAGAUUCCCCCUUCUCCUUUGCCUCUUGUGUUUUGUGUGGUCUGUCUCAGGUUAUCAGUGGCGCACCUCCUAAGAAUGCGCCAUUGGUAACCAUGGUUACUAAUGGUGCACCUGAUGUGUGGUGCGUCAUUACNCAAAACUAGUAAUGACGCACCACACACCAGGUGCGCCAUUAGUAAUAUGACCACUAAUGACGCACCUAUAUCUGGUGCGCCACUGCUAUAUAGCAGUGACACACCACAUAUACGGUGCGCCAUUAAUGUUCAUAUUAGCUAUAGUCAUUUUUCUAGUAAUGCGUUGUUGAUUCAUCUCAAGGUAUGGUGGAUGCAUGCUUAUAGCAGUGGCGCACCACAUAUACGGUGUGCCAUUAAUGUUCAUAUUAGCUAUAGUCAUUUUUCUAGUAAUGCGUUGUUGAUUCAUCUCAAGGUGUGGUGGAUGCAUGCUUUCGACUUUUUAGUUGCUGCUUGGAGGUUUGAUAGAGAACAAAUGAAGCAACAGAUCAUGUCAUGACUAAUAUAUGAUCAUGUGGUGCAUUUGCUGAACGAAUUGUCGGGGUACACAAAAUAGCUGCUUCGCUUUUGAUAUUUUCAGUUUGUUUCAUAAAUGUUCAGUUCAGAUGCUCAUAACUUUUCAGGUUCUGUCAAAGCUGUUUAGUUCAGAUUCUGAUAUUUUGUAUGUACAGUAUGCAAAAUGAGUCCAGCUACACGUACGACGAAUUUCAUAUGAUUUACAUACGACAGUCAGCGGCAGCCGUUCGUUGAACCACACGGACGAGUGAGAUCACAUCGUACACAAAUCGUACAAAGCUUUUGUCGUAUGCACAACAUUUCCGAUGCAAAAUCAUAUGAUUCGUACUUAGGUUGGGGGAGGCAUGGUCAGCAUUGGUGUUUUGGCGCAAUUACUGGAGAUUACUGUGAAGUUCACAAGGUGAUGAGCUUACUCGAGUGCUUUUCAUUCUUGGAGACUUUGCAUUUCGAGGUGAGUUCUUGGAUAUUUUGAAACAGCUUGUACUGUUAUAAUUUUCAUUUCGUAAAACUAAGAAGUGUAUUUUCCAUUUUGAAACUGAGAUCUACUUGCACUAUCAUACAUUAAUUUUCAGUUCGUAAAACUGAGAAGUGUAUUUUCCAUUUGGAAAUUGAGUUCUGUUUGUACUGUCAUAAUUUUCAAUUUGUAAAAUUGGAGUACUGCAGAAUUUUACUGCCAAAACUGUAACCACUGUAAAAACUGAAAAUUUGAAAUUGAAAUAAAAUAAGCUGUCACUGUGAUGCUUUGCCUAAUACUUUGAACUAUAUACCUCGUUUGGCUAUAGAGAAAAUUGCACCUAGUUGUUUAACACGCUUACAGAACUAAUCAGCCUACCAACUCAAACUACCAUCAGUAUCCAAUGAACUGCUACAGACAUAACUUUUUCCAUCAAUCCUUUGUUUUAAAUGAGUACCAAUAUUUUGGCAGGAUAGAAAGUUCCAAAUUAUGAUGCUGGUUUACGUUCCAUCUUUUAGGUUAUGAGAGAAGAUGCUGGAGAGAUGCCCUUACCAAAUUGGAAGGCUACAACCAAAUCUAAUCAGCAGCAUAGCAGUGAUCUUCGAAUAUCUCAGCAAGUGAUCAUCUUUUCAGCGAUUUCUUUUCUGUUUGGCCUUCCUGUAGGUUU